rnacentral:rRNA from 1 species
AGUAAGGAAUAUUGGUCAAUGGAGGCAACUCUGAACCAGCCAUGCCGCGUGCAGGAAGACUGCCCUAUGGGUUGUAAACUGCUUUUAUCCGGGAAUAAACCUACUUACGUGUAAGUAGCUGAAUGUACCGGAAGAAUAAGGAUCGGCUAACUCCGUGCCAGCAGCCGCGGUAAUACGGAGGAUCCAAGCGUUAUCCGGAUUUAUUGGGUUUAAAGGGUGCGUAGGCGGCCUGUUAAGUCAGAGGUGAAAGACGGUAGCUCAACUAUCGCAGUGCCUUUGAUACUGACGGGCUUGAAUGAACUAGAGGUAGGCGGAAUGAGACAAGUAGCGGUGAAAUGCAUAGAUAUGUCUCAGAACACCGAUUGCGAAGGCAGCUUACUAUGGUUUUAUUGACGCUGAGGCACGAAAGCGUGGGGAUCAAA